GACGAACGCUGGCGGCGUGCUUAACACAUGCAAGUCGAACGGAAAGGCCCUGCUGUUGGGGGGUGCUUGAGUGGCGAACGGGUGAGUAACACGAGAGUAACCUGCCCUUGACGUUGGGAUAACUUCAGGAAACCGGGGCUAACACCGGAUAGGAGCUUCUGCUGCAUGGUGGGGGCAGGAAAGUUUCGGCGGUUGGGGAUGGACGCGCGGGUUAUGGGCUUGUUGGUGGGGUAGUGGUUUACCAAGGCUUUGACGGGUAGCCGGCCUGGGAGGGGGGCCGGGGCCAAGAGUACUGAGGGACGGCGCAGUCGGGAACGUGAGGCAACGGUGGGAAGUAUUACACAGUAAGCCGGAGCGUGAGACGGCGACGCCGGGUGCGGAAUGACGGCUUUCGAGGUAUGAACCGCUGUCGCCUGAUACGAGGCGUGAGUGACGGUAAUGGGUAAAUAAGCACCGGCUAACUACGUG
rnacentral:rRNA from 1 species